rnacentral:sRNA from 1 species
GUCUCGACUAAGGGUUUUCGCAGAAGUCAGUGAAUACAACGUGCAUUGCUGGUUCAACAACCACGGGAAUCGGGUCAGGCGCCUACAAGCGGAAAUAGACCCCACUGGCACUAUCUUUUCUCAACUGCCGCUGUAUAUGUGUGAAUAUGACUGGGUAAUCAUGAGGGCGCCAAGGCUGCUGGAUUUGUUCCCCGUUCCAAUCAUCAUUGACGACGACAGAGAUGAACGACA